rnacentral:rRNA from 1 species
UUAUUGAAAACGUUAUUUUUUAGCUGAGAUUAUUUAUAGUUAUGUUCUUUAAAAUUAAAAAAUUUGGCGGUAUUUUAGUCUAUUCAGAGGAACCUGUUUUUUAAUCGAUAGUCCACGAUGAAAUUUACCUUUUCUUUUAAUUUGCAUAUCGUCGUUUAUAAAAAUUCCAGGAGGAUUUUAAUUUUUGAGAUUUUAUAUUUGAAAUUAAUUCAGAUCAAGGUGUAGUUUAUGAUGAGGUUAUAAUGGGUUACAUUAUAUUUAUAUGUGGUUCUUAAUUUUGAAAUUUAAGUUAAAUUGGAUUUGACAGUAAAUUGUUUUUCUAUGAUAAUUGAUUUAGCUCUAAAAUAUGC